CCCCAGCCCUGUGAAGCCAGGAGAUCCAGGCUGGUGUGCCCGUGCGCGUGUUCCCAUGCCGUCUAACAGGGACUAUGUGGUCAGGCCCAAAUGGAACACGGAGAAGGAGAUGAGUGAGGACCAGGAAAGGGAACAGAAACGUAGAAACAAGGGCAUAGUAGCACUGAAGGAUGCCCGAUUGGAAAAGCACGUGAAGACCUUCCGGGACAGGAAGCAGCGCAUGAAGGCGGAUCGAGCGGUCAAGAUCAGUCUGGAGGGUCGUAACAUGUCCUUAUAGGGCAGACGGGACAUUACGUUCUAAUUUCAUGUGUCUUGAUCAUGACAGAAAUUUGACACCUUUGUAAUGAUUGUCAAAAUUGAUAGGACAAAGCCGUGGAAGAUGAGCAUAUGUUAUGGAUUUUUGCAAAGAUUUUGAAUGUACAGUUUUCCUUUUUGCAUAUUCAGACUUUGAGAUGAAAUUUGUACCCUUUUUUUCUGUGAAUUUUUCUUUCGCUUUAUUGACACACUUGUGUUUGGAUGUACCAAUGUAUACUCAACUUAGUACAGUGGUUUGUCAGUGGUUUAUCCUUAUUGUAGUGAAUAUAAAACUCAACAGUGCAAGCAGUACUUCAGCUGGUAUUGUGUUCGUGUCAUCUAUAUUUACAGCAGAAUGUUUAUACAUUUGUAAGCCAGUUAAACGUCUUAACCAUGAGCUGUAACAUACUGAUAACGCAGACUGUACAGUAAAAUAUACAUUGUAGACUCACAAGUCAAGCUUUAGUUGACUACAAUAGAGUCAGCUACACUAAAUGACAAAAAGGCCAGAAAGUUGAAUUUGUCCAACAAUAUCACUGUUAACAGUUUAUAGCCCUGUACAAUGAUAACCUGAUUGGUAUGUUAGCAUAUUCAUUGGUUUAUCAUACAAUGAUUAAUCACAUGGGCAGGUUGCAGAAAAAGCAGGAAUUUAGAAAUUUUCCUUUAUCAUAUGUCCUUUGUUUUUUAGUGAUCAUCAUAUUGUGUUAUAUCAUUGUGUUUGUUAUGAUCAGGCUGUUGUCCGAUGAGCGCCAUGACUUAUCUCCCGAGUGGGUCACCCCCAUAGAAUUCCUCUGCUAAUAUCAGACACUGUUGGGAGUAAAACGAAUUUGUCACUUUUGUUUUUGAGACGCUUGCUUUGUCAGCUCUGGUGUUCAGCUUUUAAGUGUACAUGUAUAAUGACAAAUGUGGCAUCAUUGUAAAGGGUGAUAAAUAUGUUUUCCAGUGAUAUGUAAUACUAAUAAUGGCACAAAUGAUGGAUCAAAUUUAACUUAAGAAACUUUUUUGUUUUGAGUGUAGAUAGUUGUUUCAGAAGCAUUCUUGUGUAUAUACAUGUACCUUGCUUUCUUGAAGUCUUCAGUACAUUUUGAUUUUGUAUUAGGAAUACCUAUACUAGUAUUAGGAAGAGGUAUUGGAUGAAAAGUUGCAACAAUGUGCAAAGAACUCAGAAGGUGUAUACCACUACAUUUGGCAGAAAUUUUGUAUGGGGAAAGUACAUCAACAUUUUCAUACAGGUUCUCCUCGAUCCUUCCAAGUGCAGACCUAACACUGAUAUAGUUGUAAGUGGUUUAAUUUUGAUAACUGAUAGCUUGAGAUACUUGCAUAGUUUUUGGCACUCCUUUGUAGAAUCUAUGAUUAAAAAUGAUGCUUGCAGGGUAACAUUGACAAAAAAGGCUAUCACAGAAAGAACAAAACGAUCUGUCAUAUCAUAUCAUAUACAGGUUUUUUAUUUGAUAUCAUAUGCACCAUGUUGGACUACAGUGUACGUCUGGAAGAUCUAUGCCAUUGCUUAGUCCAACUACUGGCAUGUCGUAAUCACCAGUUAUUCAAAAUUCAAUUUUAAUUACAUUGAUAAAAAAAGCCUGUACAGCAUUUCAGCACCAUGUUUGUAGCAGACUGCUGACUUACAAACCUACAUGUACAUGUAUGUGGGUUCACUGAACCUUACAUUAUUAAAUAUCAUCUCUUCAGGAAAGAGCAAA